CCAGCCCCAGCCCCAGCCCCAGCCCCAGCCAUCACCCCUAAAGUCAUUCCCAACUUGCAUUGAUUUGGUGCUAAAAAUAAAUUGUCCAUUGUUUGUCCAUAAGAUUGGAAUAUUCUUCCUCUAGCAUUGCUUAUUUCCUGAGUUGACUACCUGAGUCGUUUCCAAUUAAUGUACACAGUCCCAUUUGUCCCCUGUCCCAUGUUAGAACAAUCCAAACCUUGUGUUCUUGUUAGAAAAUGUUGGUUGAAAGCUUCAUAUCAGACACCUAUUGUUCAUAAUUUUGGUUAUUAUCUUUCCCCUGCCCUUGAGGAAGGAGAAACCAUUCCUCUGUCAUUGGUGCAGUAGUCACAGUCCCAGUUUUCUGGGCAGUGUUCAUAAAUUGUGCUGAUCACCUGAACACUACACUGAGUAUAAUUUUAAUUGUCCAUAAUCCUGCCCAUUGGAUUGGAUCCCAGUCCAAAACCCUUUUGCUGAAUUCAGAAGUGGGUGCAGAAAACAUGAGUCUUCAAACAGUUAACAUGCUCAGUCCCAAUCAUAUCAGCCUUGUUCAUUAAACAAAGGCACUCUACCAUUUUUGUCCUGCUUCUGGAAUUAAGGUACCAAAUUGUAAUUGUACGUUGUCUUGCCCAGUAAUCAAUGUCCCUUCAUCCCCUUUGCAUUGCUACUAGGAAGUACUACCUGGGACCAUGUUCCUUGAAUGAUUAAUGAGUAUAAUCCCAAUUGUCCACACCCCUGUUCAUUACACAAAUCCUUUGCAACUUUGCAUUGUCGCAGAGGUGCCCAUCCUCUCUAAGUUCUUUACUUUGGGAUAUUAAUGCAUAUAGUCAUCAUUGUUCUUGGUCCUGCCUAAAAGAUAAGAUCCACCCAUGCUCUUUUCAUUACUCCUAGGUAGCGCAGACUGCUUACUACCUAGUAUUAAUAUGUAAAAAUCCUCACUGCCCGUUGCCCCAACAGUUAGUCUGGGAUACAACCUUAUCUUUAUGCCAUUGCUUAUGAGGAGUUCUGAUUACCCGAGGUCACUUCCUUUAAACAGUUGAUGUGCAUAAUUGCAUAUAUCCAUGGUGCUGUGCAAUAAAAAAUGAAAUCCCACCCUAUCCUAAUCUCUUUGGGAUAUUGCUAGGGAGUGCAGAUUAUGCAAGAACUCAGUUCUUGGACAGUUAAUUUGCACCGUUACAGUUGUACAGAGUCCUGUCUAUUUGAAAGGGCCAUUGUAUCCCAUUUGCACGCUAUAAUGUGGGCUGAUAACUCAAGGAUCCUCUGGCAUUGAUAAUUUUCAUAAUUGCAUUGGCACAUGUUCUGUGAACUAGCCACACCCAAUCCCUUUGUAUUCUAACGGGACCUUUACUAAAGAACUAUACACAUAGGACACUAUGUGUACAAUAUUAAUUGAUUAGACUGAGCCUUUUGUAUUAGGAAUUCUGCACCAUCUUUACAUCUAAAAGGUGCUAAUUAUUGAAGGCUCUUUUCUUAAAAUUGUUUGUAUGCAAAAUUGUGAUCCCCAGUGUCUCCUGUAGUUAACUUAGAACCCCAUUUCCACCUAACUCCCUUUGCAUGACUGCAGAGGCUACUUGGGCCCUUUAAGGGCUUAAGGCAGUUAUGUUCCCUUCUGUGCUCUCAUUCCCUCCUACUUCCUUUGCAUUACUGAACUGAACAUUUGGAAAUGUUAAUGUUCUUAAUCGCAGCUAUUAAUCCCUUUUGUUAGUCCAGGUUCCUAUCUCUUCCUACUCAUUUUAUAUUAGCAUAAAAUGUCCAGGGGACUAUUAUUGUGCUUAAAUGCAGCUCUGUCCCUUAUGUUAGUGUAGGAUUCCAUCCUCUUCAACUCCCUGUGCGUUACAGCAGAGUUGUACAGCUGGGAUCUUUAAGGUCCUCAAAGGCAGCUGCGGUGCCUUCUGUCCAUCUAGGAUCCCAUCCCCUCCUACUUCCUUUGCAUUUUUGCAGAGGAUACUGGGGACUGUAACAUGGAUAAUUGCUGCCAGAGUCCUUUCAGCUUGUCUAGGAUCCCAGCCUCCUCCCUCUCACUGAGUUUGCAUUACAGAGAGUACAAGGGACUGCUAAUGUGCUUAAAUGGCAGCUAUGGUCUCUCUUAACCUAGGAUCCCUUCCUCAUCUAAAUUCCUUUGCAUUAUUGCAGAGGGUACUUGAGACUGUUGAUAUGCGUAAUUGCAGUUACAUCCCUGGGCUUGGAUCCUAUCCCCAUCUGUUCCCUUUGUGAAGGGUGCAAUGGGAUGAUUAAUGAGAUUAUUGCAGCUGUAGUUCCUUCUGUUAAUCUAGUUUCUCUUGUGCUCCUACUUCUUUUGCAAUACAACGGAGGGUAGUUGAGAUCUUUGAGGUGCUUAAAGACGGUCUGUGGCCCCUUCUGUUAUGUUCCCAUCCUCUCUUAUUUUGCAUUACUGCAGAGGAUACUUGGGACUCUGAAUGUGCCUGCUUGCCACUAUAGUCCCUUCUGUUAUCUGGGAUCCCAUCCCCUCCUACAGCAUUUGCAUUACCACAGAAGGUACAAGGGACUAUUAAUGUGCAUAAAGGCAGCUAUGGUUUCUUCUCUUAACCUGGGAUCCAGCCCUCCUCUAACUUCCUUUGCAUUAUUGCAAACAGUACUUGAGACUGUUAAUGUCCUUUAAGGCAGCUGUGGUUGCUUACAUCACUGUAAGAUUCCAUUUUCUUUAAUGCCCUGUGCAUUACUGCACGGGGUACUUGGGCACUUGAAGGUGCUUAAAUGCAGCUGUGGCCCUUUCUGAUAGUUUAUGUUCCUGUCCCCUCCUAUUUCCUUUGCAUUACUGCUGAAGCUACUUGGGACUGUAAAUGGGCUUAAUUGCAGUUACAAUCCCUUCUGUUAGCUUUGCAUUAGCACAACAGUGUAUAUGGGACUGUUAAUGUGCUUAAGUGAAGCCUUGCCCCUUAUGUUAAUGUAGGAUUCCAUCCUCUCCAGCUCCCUAUGCAUUAUAGUGGAGGAUACCUGGUACCCAAAGGUGCUUGAAUGUAGCUGUGAUGCCUUCUGUCAGUCUAGAAUCCCAUUCCCCUUCUAUUCCCUUCACAUUACACGGCGGGGCAUUUGGGACUGUUCCUGUGCUUAACUGCGGUUGCAGUCCCUCCUGUUAGUCUAGUUUCCCAGGCCCUCCUACUUCCUUUGCAUUACAGCAGAGGGUACUUGAGACCUUUAAGCUGUUUAAUUGCAGCUGUGGUUCCUUCUGUUCGUCUAGGAUCUCACAUCCUUGAACUCCCUUUGUAUUCCCUGGGAUUGUUUUUGGGACUGUUAAAGUGCUUAGCUGCAGCUGUGGUCCCUUUUCUUUGUCUAGCGUCCCAUCCCUUCCUACUCACUUUGUAUUAUCUGGAAGUGGAUUUGGGACUAUUAAUGUGCUCAUUUGCAACUGUGGUCCCUUUUCUUAGUCUGGGUCCUACAUGUUCCAACUCCUGCACACAGCAGGGACUACUUGGGACUAGUAAUAUGUUUAAUCUUACCUGUGGUCCCUUCCAGUAGUCUAGGAUGCCAUCCACCUUCUAUUGGCUUUGCAUUAGCACACAGUGUACACAGGACUGUUAUUGUGCUUAAAUGCAGCUUUGUCUCUUAUGUUAAUGUAGGAUUCCAUUCUCUCUAACUCUCUGCAUUAUAGAAGAGGGUACUUGGCACCUUUAAGGUGCUUGAACGUAGCUGUGGUGCCUUCUGUCAGUCUAGGAUCCCAUUCCCAUUCUACUCCUUUUACAUUACAUGGCAGGGCAUUUGGGACUGUUCAUGUGCUUAACUGCAGUUACAGUCCGUUCUCUUAGUCUAGGAUUCUGUGCCCUCCCACUUUCUUUGCAUUAGAGCAGAUGGUGUUUGGGACUGUUAAUGAGCUAAAUUGCAGCUAUAGUCCCUUCUGUUAAUCUAGUUUCCCAUGCACUCCUACUUCCUUUCAUUUUAGCAGAGGGUACUUGAGACCUUUAAGGUGCUUAAAUUCAGGUAUGGCCCCUUCUGUUUUUCUUCCCAUCUCCUUCUACUUCUUUGCAUUACUGCAGAGGCUCCUUGGGACGGUAAAUGUGCGUAAUUGGCACUAUAGUCCUGUUUGUCUAGAUUCUUAUCCUUUCCUGCAUGGUUUGCAUUAACAAAGAGAGUACAAGGGACUGUUAAGGCGCUUAAAUUUAGCUACUGUCUUUUCUUUUAACUUAGGUUCCCAUCCUCACCUAAUUUUCUUUGCGUUAUUGCAGAGGGUACUUGAGACUGCUAAUUAACCAGUUGUCCCUUCUGUUAGACUAGGAACCCAUUCCCACAUACUCCCUUUACAUUAUCAUGGAGGGUACAUGGGACUGUUAAUAUGCAGACCCUUAUGUUAGUGUAGGAUUCCAUCCUGGCCAACUCCCUGUGCAUUACAGCAGAGGGUAAUUUUGACUUUCAUGGUGCUUAAAGGGUUAGUGUAUGUUCCUAUCCUCUCCUACUUUGCAUUACUGUAGAGGAUUUUUGGGACUGUUAGCAUGCCUGAUUGCUGCUACAAUCCCUUCUGUUAGUCUAGCAUCACAUCGCAUCCCAUUCCAUACCGUUUGCAUUACCGCAGAGGGUACAAGGGAUUGUUAGUGUGCUUAAACGCAGCUACGAUCUCUUCUGUUAACCUAGGAUGUGGUCCCCACCUAACUCCGCAUUAUUGCAGAAGGUGCUUGGAACUGUUAAUGUGCUCUAAUGCAGCUACCGUCCCUUUUGUUAGACUAGGAUGCCAUCUCUAUCUACUCCUUUUGCAUUAUCAUGGAGCAUCCAGGGGACUAUUAAUGUGCUUAAAUGAAGCCAUGGUCCCUUAAGUGUAGGAUUCCACCUCUUCAACUCCCUAUGCAUUACAGCAGAGGGUAGUUGGGAUCUUCAAGGUCCUCAGAGGCAGCUCUGGUGCUUUCUGUUAGUCUAGGAUCCUAUCCCCUCCUACUACUUUGCAUUUCUGCAGAGGAUACUUGGGACUGUUAAUGUGCCUAAUUGCCACUACAGUCCCUUCUGUUUGUAAUCGCAUCCUCUCCUAAACUGGCAUUGCUACAGAAGGUUCAAGGGACAAUUAACUGUUUAAAUGCAGCUACUGUCUCUUUUGUUCUAGGAUCCUAUCCUCAUUUCGGGUUUCCAUUUACUACAGUAGGCACAAGGGACUGCUAAUGUGCCUAACUGCCACUACAGUCCCUUCUGUUUGUCUAGGAUCCUGUUCCCUCCUACAGGGUUUGCAAUACCAUAAAAAGUACAAGGGACUGUUAAUGUGCUUCAAGGCAGCUAAGGUCUCUUCAGUUAACCUAAGAUUCCAUCCCUGCCUAUUUCCAUUUGCAUAAUUGCAGAGGGUACUUGGGACUGUUAAUAUGCUUAAAUGCAGCUAUGAUCCCUUAUGUUAAUGUAGGAUUCCAUGCUAACUUCCUCUGCAUUGCGAUAGAGGGUAUUUGGGACCUUUAAGGUGCUUAAAGCUGCGUCCCCUUGUUUGUUUCCAUACUCUCCUACAUUGCAUUACUGCAGAGGAUACGUGGGACUGUUAAGAUGCCUACUUGCCACUAUAGUCUUUUCUGUUUGUCUAGGAUCCCAUGCCCUCCUACAGGGUUUGCAUUACCUCCAAUGGUGCGAGGAACAGUUAAUAUGCUAAAGUGUACUUGAGGUCCCUUCUGUUAGAUUAGAAUUCUAUCCCCUUCUAUUUCCUUUGCAUUAUCAUGGAGGGUAUAUGGGACCAUUAAUGUGCUUAAAUGUAGCUACAGCCCAUAUGUUAGUUUAGGGAUUUCAUCCUUUCUAACUCCCUGUGCAUUACAGCAGAGUUGGGUAGUUGGAAUCUUCAAGGUCCUCAAAAAGACAGCUGUGGUACUUUCUGUUAGUGUAGGAUCCCAUCCCCACCUAACUUCCUUAGCAUUACAUAGAGGGUACUUGAGACCUUUUAAGGUGUUUAAAUGCAGCUGUGUCUCCUUCUGUUUAUGUUUCCGUCCUCUCCUAUUUUACAUUACUGCAGAGGAUACUUGGGACUGUUAAUGUGCAUAAUUGGUGCUAUAGUCCCUUCUGUUUGUCUAGGAUCCCGUGCCCUCCUACAGGGUUUGCAUUACCACUGAGGGUGUGAGGGACUGUUAAUGGGCUCUAAUGCAGCUAUGGUCCCUUCUUUUAGACUAGGAUCCUAUCCCUACCUACUCCCUUUGCAUUAUCAUGGAACAUCCAUGGGACUGUUAAUGUGCUUAAAUGAAGCCAUGGUCCCUUUAAGGGUAGGAUUCCAUCCUCUUCAACUCCCUAUGCAUUAUAGCAGAGGGUAGUGGGAUCUUUAAGCUCCUCAAAGGCAGCUAUGAUGCCUCUGUUCGUCUAGGAUCCCAUCCCCUUCUACUUCCUUUGCAUUUCUGCAGAGGAUACUUGGGGGACUGUUAAUGUGCUUAAUUGCCACCGGAGUCUCUUUAGUUAGUCUAGGAUUCCAUCCGCACCUACUCAGUUUGCAUUAGAGUUUACAUGAGACUAUUAAAGUGCUUAAAUGAAGCUGCUAUGGUCCCUUAUAUUAAGGUAGAAUCCUAUACCCACUUAACUCCUUUUGCAUUACACGUAAUGUUUAUGAGUCUCUUAUAUGCUUAAGUGAAGCCUUGCCCCUUAUGUUAAUGUAGGAUUCCAUCCUCUCCAGCUCCCUAUGCAUUAUAGCGGAGGAUACCUGGCACCCAAAGGUGCUUGAAUGUAGCUGUGGUGCCUUCUGUCAGUCUAGAUCCCAUUCCCCUUCUAUUCCCUUCACAUUACGCGGCGGGGCAUUUGGGACUGUUCCUGUGCUUAACUGCGGUUGCAGUCCCUCCUGUUAGUCUAGUUUCCCAUGCCCUCCUACUUCCUUUGCAUUGCAGCAGAGGGUACUUGAGACCUUUAAGCUGUUUAAUUGCAGCUGUGGUCCCUUCUGUUCGUCUAGGAUCUCACAUCCUUGAACUCCCUUUGUAUUCCCUGGGAUUGUUUUUGGGACUGUUAAAGUGCUUAGCUGCAGCUGUGGUCCCUUUUCUUUGUCUAGGGUCCCAUCCCUUCCUACUCACUUUGUAUUAUCUGGAAGUGGAUUUGGGACUAUUAAUGUGCUCAUUUGCAACUGUGGUCCCUUUUCUUAGUCUGGGUCCUACAUGUUCCAACUCCUGCACACAGCAGGGACUACUUGGGACUAUUAAUAUGUUUAAUUUUACCUGUGGUCCCUUCCGGUGGUCUAGGAGCCCAUCUCCUACACAUUAGCUGGUGGUAUUUGGAACUAAAAAGUACUUAAUUGCAUCUGUGAUCCCUUCUGUUGUUAUAGGAUCCCAGUGUUCUCCAAAUAUAUUACAGCAGAGGGCAUUGGACUGUUAAUAGGCUUAACUGUAGCUGUGGUCCCUCCUGUUAGUCUCGUAUCCCAAGCCCUACAACUGCCUUUGUGUUACCUGGCAGUGUAUUUGGGACUGUUCAGUUGUUAAUUGCAGCGGUUGUCUCUUUAUUAGUAUAGGUUCUCAAGUCCUCCUAUUCAAUUUACAUUACAGCAGAGGGUCCUUGGGAUUGUUAAUUGUUAAUUAAAUGCUAAUUGUUAAUUGGUAAUUGUUAAUUCAAUGCUGCUGUUGUACCUUCUGGAAUUCCUGGGAUCCCAUCUUCUCCUACUCUGUUUACAUUAUCUGGGAGGAGUUUGGGGACUGUUAGAAGGUGCCACACUACUAAAUCGAGAAUUUUUUCUUAGUAUAGUUUACCAUGCCCUCCUAUUCUCUUUACAUUACAACAGAUGGUACUUGGGACUGUUAAAGUACUUAAUUGCAGGUGUGGUCCCGUCGGUUAGUCUAGGAUCUCAUUUCCUUCUCCCCUAUUAUUGAGAGCAGAUUUGGGAAUGUUACUUUGUAUAAUUAAAAUUGUCAUCCCUUCUAUUAGUCUAGUUUCCAGCCCCUUCCAACUCCCUUUGCAUUACCUAGGAACAGAUUUGGGACUGUAAUGUGCUCAUUUGCAGCUGUGGUCCCUUCUGUGAGUCAAGCAUCCCAUGCCCUCUAACUUUCUGUCCAUUACAGCAGAGGAUAUUUGGGACUUUUUUUUUUUUAAGGUUUUAUCUAUUUGACAGAGAGAGAGAGAGAUUGCAAGUAGGCAGAGAGGCAGGCAGAGAGAGAGAGGGAAGCAGGCUCCCUGCUGAGCAGAGAGCCCGAUGCUGGGCUCGAUCCCAGGACCCUGAGAUCAUGAUCUGAGCCGAAGGUAGAGGCUUUAGCCCACUGAGCCACCCAGGCACCCUGAUAUUUGGGACUUUUAAUGGGCUUAAUUGCUGUCCUGAUCCCUUUUAUUAACCUAGGAUUCUAUGUCUUCCAACUCACUUUGCAUUACCUGAGGAUGUAUUAGGGACUGUUUAAAUGCUCAGUUGGAGCUGCGGUCCCUUUUGUAUAUCUAGUUUUCCCAUGCCUUCCUCCUCUUUUGCAUUAUAGCAGUGGGUACUUGGGGCUGUUAAAGUACUUAAUUGCUGGCGUAGUCACUUUUGUUGGUUUAGGAUCCCAUCCCCUUCUACUCCCUUUACACUACCUGGGAGGAUUUUUGAGACCGUUAAAGUGCUCACUUGCACCUGUGGUGCCCUCUGUUGGUCUAGGAUCCGAUGUCCUCUAACUCCCUUUGCUGCAUUACAGCAAAUGGUACUUGGACUGUUAAUGUGCUUAAAUACAGGUGUGGUCCAUUUUGCUAGUCAUGAUCACCUCCUCCCUUUAUAUUACCUGGGAGCAGACUUGGUACUGAAAGGUGCUUAAUGCAGCUGCGUUCCCUUCUCUUAGUUUAGGAUCCUACACCCCCAACUCUUGCGUUAUAGCAGAGAGUACUUGGGCCUGUCAGAUUAUCACAGCUGUGGUACCUUCUGUUUUGAAGGAUCCCAUGCACACCAACUUCCUUUACAUUAUCUGGGAGUGUAUUUGGGAAGGAUAAAGUGCUUAACUUUGGCAGUGGUUCCCUUUGUUGGUAUAUUUUUCCACGCCCUCCUAUAGUCUCUGCAUUAUAGCAGAGGGUACUUAGGACUGUAGCUGUGCUUAAAUGCAGUUGUGGUCCCUUUUGUUAGUGUAGGAUCCCAUGCCCUCUCCUUUUACAUCACCUCAGAAGUGCUUGGGACAAUUAAGAUGUAUCCCAUUCACUCCUACCUUUUUAGCAUUACAGUACGGGUUUGCUGAAAACCAAGCCCCCCCCCUUCUGUAUUGUUAAUAGGCAUAAUUGUAUUUGUUCCUUUUCCUCUGCACUAGAUUUCUCUAAUUUCACUUGUAUUCAGCAGUGGAUGAACUUUAAUACCUUUGUACUAGGAUAAAGUGAACCAUGGUAAUUGAUAUACUGUGUCUUUCAUUAAGUCUCCCGUACGCUCUUUGAAUUAAUUACCUCAGUUACUUUUUUCUGGAACUAUUGGUGUGCAAAAUUCCAGUGUUUUUUUUUUUUUACAUCAAUUUUUUUUUUUUUACAUCAGGGGAUGCUAGUAUCCCAAAAUUCUUUCCUUGGGACUCUUAAUGUACAUACGCCCUCUUGAUAAGCUAAUGCCCUUACUUCGUAUUCUACUGGGGGGUACUGACCACCUACAGUCUUUCUGUUGGACAGUUAACGUGCCGUGUUGCACUGGGGUCCCAUCCCUAUCACACCUUCUCUGUCAGGGGUGCUGACCAACUAUGACUGCUUCUCCUGUGCAGUUUAAAUGUGCAUAAUUACAGGAAUCCUUGCUCCCUUAUGUUAGAAUAAGAUCUCAUUUCCUUGCCCCAUUUACGUUAUUGCAGGGGCUUCUGACUAGCCAAGAUUCACUCUCUUAGACUGUGUGCAUACUUAACAUUUGCUCUUAUACCUGUGCACCAGGUUAGGAUCCUCCCCAUACUGUUUAUAUUCCAGUGGGAGGUGCCUACUACUCAAGAUUUUACACACUAACGCAGUUAAUCUGCACAACCUUCGUUGUUUUGUACCCACUCAGUUGUCUACAACUGUACCUUUAAGUUCAGGACUUUGCCUUUACCAAAGUGGAGGUGACUGACCACAUUCAAGCAUUUCUCUUGGAACUGUGGCUGUGUGUAGUUUCAGUUGUCCACUCUCCUUUGAGUUAACUUGUCCCUGACUCUUCUCAGAACCUUUGAGGUACUGCGUGGGAUACUGUCAAUUUAAGGCCUCUUCCUCAAACUGUUAAUGAGUGUAAUGACAAUUAAAUUAGGAUUCUUCGCCUUUACACGGCCUUUGAAGUACUGCAGGGAAUUCUGACCCAUAAGGUCCCAUUUCUUGGCCUGUUAAGAUGCAUGAUUGUAUUUGUCUGGGUUCCUGUGUACUAGAGAAGAACACCUCUCCCCACUCCUGUCUGUUAUCUGUUAUGUAGGGAGUGCCCCCUCUAAGGCUGUUAUAUUUGAGCAGUCAAGGAGCACAGUUAUCUUUGACCACAACUACGCACCAUGGAUAUUAAUGUGCAUAACUACACAUGCUUCAUCCCAUUUGAAUAAGGUACUACCCUCUCAGACCCCUUUUGUAGUACAGCGGGGGUACUGAUCACUAAGGCCUUUUCUCAUGGCUUGUGAUUAUGCAUAAUUUCAUUUGUACAUGUUUUUGUACACUAAAUAAGGGCACCUCUCUCCCCACUCUCUUUACCUUUUAGCAGGGAGUUCCCAUUACUUAAUCCUUACAUUUGUACAAAGUACAUGGUUUUAAUUAACCAUACCAUAUCCCUUGGGCAUUAGUGUACAGGACUGCAGCUUAGUUCAUCCUACCCUGUUGUAUGUCAUUGAGUAUACCAGGGUUGCUGACCCCAACUUGUCCUAUUAAUGUGCAUAAUUACAUUUGUCCAGGUUCUUAUGCACUAGAUGAGGAGACCCCCUCACCCCCUACUUCUAAGCCUUCCAGUAGGUGGUGGUGCCCAUUGCUAAGACAUUUACAUCUGAAUAGUUAAUAUGUAGAAUUGUAGUUUUCCACAACUCUGUUACUUCCAGAACUAUCGUACCUCCUUUGCAGUGCUGCAGGAGAUACUGUUUUCUCCCAAAGUUCUUUCUAGUAAACUGCUAACAUUCAUUCCUCAAUUGAAAUUGUCUGUUGUCUUCAGUAGACUAAGGCCCUACACUCUCACCUUCCCUUUGCAAUACAGCAGAGUGUGCUGAUGAACUAAGGUCCUCUUUUGGGCUGUGAAUAUGUACAGCUGAAAUUUUCCCCUGUUUUAUGUACUCUAUAAGGACCCUACCUACUUUCUUAGCAUGUUUAGCAGGUAGUGUCCACUAUUUAAACUCUUUCACUUGGAAAGUUCAUGUGUAUAAGUGCAGUUUGCUAAGCACGUCUUAUACUAGAACCCCUGUACCCUCUUUGCUUUGGAGUAAGGAGAUGCAGUUUACCUCUAAUGCCCUUCUUUUGGACUUUAAUGUGUAUGAUUGCAAUUGUCCAUCUUUUCAUCCCCUCAAACCUCCUUUGCUUCAGGGGCAUGUUAACCAUAAAUUGCAUCCCAUCAAACCCCCUUUGCAUCAGGGGCAUGUUAACCAUAAAUGAGCUCUUCUUGAGAUUAUUAAUAUACAUACUUGUAUUUGUUUGUUGAUCUGUGCAGUGUGAAAGGAUGACCUCAGCUCUUGGACCAUUAAUAUGCACCACUAUCAAUUAUGGGACCUAUUGUACUCCCUUUGUAUUCAUUAGGGGUACUGACUAAGGUCUCUUUCUUGGACUGUCAAUGGGCAAUUAUCUAUGUUCCCUUCUGUUAGGUUUAGGAUAACAUUCCCUUAAAACCCCUUUGCAUUACUAUAGGGGUUGCUGAACACACAAAACUCCUGGGACUGUUAAUGGGCACAAUGGCAAUUAGCAAUGAAUUUUUCCUCCCUGGCCUUGUUAGAUAAACACUCCCAGCCCCAAUUUUGCAUGACAUAAUUAAGUAUAAACAUUGCAAUAUGCUGUGAACUUGUCUAUCAAAUAGCAACCCAUACUCCCUCUCCUUUUGUAUUGCUCCUAUGUAUAAAAUUCCAAGUACUCAUGGUCUUCCCCUUAUCAUCCCUCUUCCCAUCCCGUGCUCACCCUUGGACCCUUCCUAUGGACCUUUGUCACAGUUUCAGGUGUUCAUGUAUUCAGCCAUUGAAUAAGAUUGUCCCUCCGCUCUGCCCCCAUCCCUUGCCCCUUUUGCUUUAUUGCUGGGGAAUGUUGACUGAACAAGGCCCUUUCUCUUGGACUUAAUACAUUAGUAAUCCCUGAUGUCAUUGCUUUACCCACUUUAUAUUAUUGUAAUGCUUCAGUUGCACUUUCCUUGGUCCCACCCAUCAGACACGGACCCCUCCACUUCUUUGCAUUGCAUUGCUGACUGCCCAAAGUCCCUUCUAUGUUAACGCAGUACUGAUUGUCCCAUUUUUUUUUAGCUCAUCAGCCCAAGAUUUUCCUAUCACUUUGAUGUCAUGUGCAGUAUUGACUACCAAAAGCAGGCCUGAAUUAGGUGGAUGGACCUUCACUCUUUUUUCUGCACUUGUUAAUGAUGCAAUCCCAGUUGUCACAUUCUGGGACAGGAACCGUCCCUGCCCACCUCUGUUACUGCUUUACUAAGCAAAAUGCUCAAGGCAAGUCAGGCCUACAAAGCUGGAUUGCCACCCCUUAUUACUGAUUUUCAGUAUAAGUAUCAGUUGAAAAUUGUCUCCCCAGGAAGAAAGAUUAGCACCAUCUGUGCAUUCUUCCUUCCAGAGCAGAUUGCCUGGCCAAGAAUCUCUCUUCCUCUCUUGUAUAUUGCUAUUGUACAGUGCUGGUUGCCAGGAUACAAUUAAAAAAAUGCUGUUUGCAAAAUGGAAUUGUAAACCUGGUCAUUUAAUUUUUGAAGUCCAAAAACCCAUUUAUACCAUGUACUUGAUGACCAGUGUCUCUCAUUUUACUAUGGGUGGUGGGUCUGUGGAUAGACCACUAUGAAUCUUGCUAUUUUAAGUAUUCCCAAGAGUUCUAGAGUGGAACUCUUAAGACACAUAUCUUUGGGCUCUGCCACCAUUUAAAAACCAUUCUUUUUUUUUUUUUAAGAUUUUAUUUAUUUAUUUGAGAGAGAGUGAGAGAGAACAUGAGCGAGGAGAAGGUCAGAGAGAGAAGCAGACUCCCUGUGGAGCUGGGAGCCCUAUGCGGGACUCGAUCCCGGGACUCCGGGAUCAUGACCUGAGCCAAAGGCAGUCGUCCAACCAACUGAGCCACCCAGGCGUCCCUAAAAACCACUCUUUAUUUGGGCUUCAUCACCAUUCACUUUUAGAGAAACUACCUAAACUUUCUAGUCUUUAAAUUUCUUCAUCUGGAUCAUCAACCACCCCCCUACUUAUUUCAAGAAGAUUGCUUUCAAAGAAUGAACUGAGAGAACAUAUGCUGAGGCAUUUUUGAAAACCUUAGUUCACCUUACUUGAUUAACCUAUUACAUAUAUAAAAUGCACCCUGUUGAAUUCUGCUAAUCUAAAGUAGCCUGAAGCACUACACUGAAGUGAGGACUUAGGAAUGAUAGUAUCAAUUGCCCUGUUUUGUAUUAAAGGAGAAAUAAGCUAAGUUCUAAUCAUUCUUCUGGACAUAAAUUUCAACAGUGAGAUAGCUUCCUGGUAAAAUGAAUAAUAUCCUAGCUUCUAGUGUGCAGGGUGUGGCAGAGAAGUCUCUAAUGUGGAACUGCUGAAGCAAGUAACUAGUUAUCACAACGGCAGUUCUUUGUAAUCACUGAAAAAGGAUACUAUUCCUCUGACAAGGAUGUCAAAAGAUCCGCCCAGCUCAGGGUGCAGUAUGCACUACUAGCUCCUUGGACAACUGUAAGAAGAGUCUCUGGCUCUUUAGAAUACUGGAUGAAUUCUGAGCUGGUUCUGUAUCCCACUCGAGGAAGGAUGGAUCAACUUUAAGUGGAUUGAAGCCUGCACUAGAUGGCAUCCAAAGAUCUUCUUCAGAAGAAUAGGCUUGUUGCUCUACAGUGUUAGUGACCUGUUCCCUUUGACGAUCCCUAGGUGGAGAUGGGGCAUGAGGAUCCUCCAGGGGAAAAGCUCACUACCACUGGGCAACAACCCUAGGCCAGGAGGUUUUAUCAAGAUUCUUCCCUGGUCCCAGGGAGGAAGAUGAACUCUCAAAACCACCACCACCCUUCAGAGGAGAACAUGGGCAACUGCCACAUUUGUGACAUUGAUCAUGGGGAGAUCAUCAUUUUGGACCCUCUGGUCCCUAGAGUAUUUCUUGAAGCCUUGCUGGGGAAUUUUGACAAUCAUUUACAUAUGUCAAGAUGGCUUAGGAUGUCUUUGGGCUAAAACACAAAACAAGCUGUUUGAGAAGAUAAAUAGGAGUUGUAUGCUUGUUGAUUAAUGGAACCUGACCAGAAAUGGCACAAAGUUUCUGUUGUCAGGUCCUGAUUGUUCCUUCUUUUCUGCCAAAUCACUGUCUUCCCAAAACAGUGCAAAGUGCAAGAAAGUGAAACAUACCGAAGGAAGAUCAACAUGCCUGGCACACUAGCAUUUUAGAACAGCAGAAUGAAUGUGUAUUUCUUUGCUUGUCUAUUUCUUUCUUGAAUCUCUUUGGUUGUCUUUAAAAUGUGUCUUAGCCAUCCCAUGAUUCUCUUGCUAGUUUCUUCUCUGUGUAUCUUUGUCUCAGUCUGGUUUUUGUUCCUAAGAGUGAUCUGUGUCUUGUCUUAGAUGUCUCUCUCUAGUUUUGUUUCAUUUUGUUUUUUCAAUUUGUUACUGAUUCUCUUUGCUCUCCUAGAUCUGGCUCUUCUUUCUAUGUUCUUCCGUUUUGGUCUGUGUUGCAUGCUUGUGUGCUUUUUGUUCAUAACUUGUCCUGCCUAUACCUCUCUUCUUUUACUGUUGUGAACUCUGAUUGUUGGUCUUCCCUUCCCCUUGUUGUUGGCUUGACAUUUCACCUUUUUCUCAUUCUGGCUUUCCUCCUGCUUUUUCUACUAUUAUCUCACAUUUCUCUUUUCUGUAUAUUUUUUCUGUCUCUGUUGGGCCAUUUUCUCUUUCUUUCCUGCUGU